GCACUCGAGUUGGCAGCACAUAUACUAAAAUUGGAACAAUACAGAGAAGAUUAGCAUGGCCUCUGCUCAAGGAUGGCACAAAGAUUCGUGAGGUACUCCAUUUUUUU
ensembl:snRNA U6 U6 spliceosomal RNA